rnacentral:rRNA from 1 species
ACUCCUACGGGAGGCAGCAGUGAGGAAUAUUGCACAAUGGAGGAAACUCUGAUGCAGCAACGCCGCGUGGAGGAUGACGCAUUUCGGUGUGUAAACUCCUUUUAUAUGUCAAGAAAAUGACGGUAGCAUAUGAAUAAGCACCGGCUAACUCCGUGCCAGCAGCCGCGGUAAUACGGAGGGUGCAAGCGUUAUUCGGAAUCACUGGGCGUAAAGGACGCGUAGGCGGGUUGGAAAGUCAGAUGUGAAAUCCUACAGCUUAACUGUAGAACUGCAUUUGAAACUUCUAAUCUAGAGUAUGGGAGGGGGAGAUGGAAUUAGUGGUGUAGGGGUAAAAUCCGUAGAUAUCACUAGGAAUACCGAAAGCGAAGGCGAUCUCCUGGAACAUAACUGACGCUAAGGCGUGAAAGCGUGGGGAGCAAACAGGAUUAGAUACCCUGGUAGUCCACGCCCUAAACGAUGAACACUAGUCGUCGGGAUGCUAGUCAUCUCGGUGAUGCACUUAACAGAUUAAGUGUUCCGCCUGGGGAGUACGGUCGCAAGAUUAAAACUCAAAGGAAUAGACGGGGACCCGCACAAGUGGUGGAGCAUGUGGUUUAAUUCGAAGAUACGCGAAGAACCUUACCUAGCCUUGACAUUGAUUGAACCUGCCAGAGAUGGCGGGGUGCCCUUCGGGGAACAUGAAAACAGGUGCUGCACGGCUGUCGUCAGCUCGUGUCGUGAGAUGUUGGGUUAAGUCCCGCAACGAGCGCAACCCUCGUCCUUAGUUGCUAGCAGGUUAAGCUGAGCACUCUAAGGAGACUGCCUUCGUAAGGAGGAGGAAGGUGAGGACGACGUCAAGUCAUCAUGGCCCUUAUGGCUAGGGCUACACACGUGCUACAAUGGGGGCGUACAGAGUGUUGCGAUACCGCGAGGUGGAGCUAAUC